rnacentral:rRNA from 1 species
CCUACGGGAGGCAGCAGUGGGGAAUAUUGCGCAAUGGGCGAAAGCCUGACGCAGCGACGCCGCGUGAGGGAUGAAGGUCUUCGGAUCGUAAACCUCUGUCAGCAGGGAAGAACGGUCACUGUGCUAAUCAGCAGUGAAUUGACGGUAACUGCAACGGAAGCACCGGCUAACUCCGUGCCAGCAGCCGCGGUAAUACGGAGGGUGCGAGCGUUAAUCGGAAUUAAUGGGCGUAAAGCGCUCGUAGGCGGUAUGUCAAGUCAAGGGGGGAAUCCCCGAGCUCAACGUGGGAACUGCCUUUGAAACUGGCAAACUGGAGUGUGUGAGAGGAUAGUGGAAUUCCAGGUGUAGCGGUGAAAUCCGUAGAUAUCUGGAGGAACAUCAGUGGCGAAGGCGACUAUCUGGCACAUAACUGACGCUGAGGAGCGAAAGCGUGGGUAGCAAACAGGAUUAGAUACCCCAGUAGUC